UACGUAGGGUGCAAGCGUUAAUCGGAAUUACUGGGCGUAAAGCGUGCGCAGGCGGUCUUGCAAGACAGAUGUGAAAUCCCCGGGCUUAACCUGGGAACUGCAUUAGUGACUGCAAGGCUGGAGUACGGCAGAGGGGGAUGGAAUUCCGCGUGUAGCAGUGAAAUGCGUAGAUAUGCGGAGGAACACCGAUGGCGAAGGCAAUCCCCUGGGCCUGUACUGACGCUCAUGCACGAAAGCGUGGGGAGCAAACAGG
rnacentral:rRNA from 1 species